rnacentral:rRNA from 1 species
AAUAAAUAAUGGGGGUUAAAGUAUUUUAAUAGAAAAAAUUAUAAAAUUUAUAGUAAAUUAGUAUAGUAAUAGAAAUUUGAAAUAGUUGAAAAUUAAUUUUUAAAAAAGUAAAUUUAAAUUAUUGUAUCUUGUGUAUCAGAGUUUAUUAAAUAAUAUUAUUAAAUAAAAAUAUCUCGAAUUUAAAAGAGUUAAUUAAUUAAUAAAGUUAAUGUAAAAUAAUUAUUUUAAAUAAUUAAUUUGAAAUGAAAUGUUAAUCGUUUUUAAAUAUAUCUAGUUAUUUUAGAAAAAAGUUUAAUUUUAAAUUUAUUUAUUAAAUAUAUUAAAUUAAUUAAUAUAAAAAAAAAUAAAUUUUAUAAUUUAAGGGAUAAGCUUUAAAUUAAAGAAUUAUAAUAAUAAUUUAAAUUAAAUAAAAUUUUUAAAAUUUAUAUUGUUUAAAAAUUAUAAUUUAUUAUAAAAAAUUUUAAUAAAAAUAAAAUUUAAAAUAAUUUAAUUUUUUAUAAAAAUAUAAUUUGUAAUAAAAAAAUAUUAGAAAAAAUGAUAAAAUUAGUAUAAAAAUAAAAAUAAAAUUAUAAAUUAAUGUAAAGUAAUUAAAAGGAAUUCGGCAAAAAUAUAUAUUCACCUGUUUAACAAAAACAUGUCUUUUUGAAAAAUAAUUUAAAGUCUAAUCUGCCCACUGAUUUUAUAUUAAAGGGCUGCAGUAUAUUGACUGUACAAAGGUAGCAUAAUCAUUAGUCUUUUAAUUGAAGACUUGUAUGAAAGAUUUGAUGAAAUAUAAACUGUCUCUUAAUUAUUAUUAGAAUUUAAUUUUUUAGUUAAAAAGCUAAAAUUUAAUUAAAAGACGAGAAGACCCUAUAGAGUUUUAUAAUUAUUUAUUUAAUAUAUUUAUAUAAAAUUUUAAUAUUUUAAAUAAAUAAUUAUUUUAUUGGGGUGAUAAAAAAAUUUAUAAAACUUUUUUUAAAAGUAAACAAAAAUAAUUGAAUAAAUGAUCCAUAAAUAAUGAUUAAAAGAAAAAAUUACCUUAGGGAUAACAGCGUAAUAUUUUUUUUUAGUACAAAUAAAAAAAAAAGUUUGCGACCUCGAUGUUGGAUUAAAAUAAAAUUUAAAUGCAAAAGUUUAAAAUUUUGAUCUGUUCGAUCAUUAAAAUCUUACAUGAUCUGAGUUCAAACCGGUGUAAGCCAGGUUGGUUUCUAUCUUUAAUAAAAUAAAAUAUUUUAGUACGAAAGGAUCAAAUAUUUAAAAUAAUUUUAAAAAAAGAAUUUUAAUAAUAGUUAUUUAUA